rnacentral:rRNA from 1 species
GACGAACGCUGGCGGCGUGCUUAACACAUGCAAGUCGAGCGGUAAGGCCUUUCGGGGUACACGAGCGGCGAACGGGUGAGUAACACGUGGGUGAUCUGCCCUGCACUUCGGGAUAAGCCUGGGAGACUGGGUCUAAUACCGGAUAUGACCUCCUAUCGCAUGGUGGGUGGUGGAAAGAUUUAUCGGUGCAGGAUGGGCCCGCGGCCUAUCAGCUUGUUGGUGGGGUAAUGGCCUACCAAGGCGACGACGGGUAGCCGACCUGAGAGGGUGACCGGCCACACGGGGACUGAGACACGGCCCAGACUCCUACGGGAGGCAGCAGUGGGGAAUAUUGCACAAUGGGCGAAAGCCUGAUGCAGCGACGCCGCGUGAGGGAUGACGGCCUUCGGGUUGUAAACCUCUUUCAGCAGGGACGAAGCGCAAGUGACGGUACCUGCAGAAGAAGCACCGGCUAACUACGUG